rnacentral:ncRNA from 2 species
AAUCAUCUUCGGGGCGAGGCGCAAUUCCUCACCGGCAGUUAAAGUCUGCGAGCAAAUUUUACAUUUGCAGGAUCCUGUGUAAUUCAGGUACCGACAGUAUAGUCUGGAUGAGAGAAGAAAAUU